CUCGUUCUUUUCAAGAUUUGCUACGAAUGACCGUCAACGACGUUAGUCGUAUUCUCCAGUCACUCUGUCAUACCUCCACGAGUAAAAAGGAGAAGGGCUUCAAAUUAUAUGUUUCCAGCUAUAUCCAUAAUUACGAUGAUUGUAUUGCGGGAUUCCCAUUCUGUGCAGCUACAGAGCUGCCACUGUACCUGUGUGGCAGGCAGAGUUUUGUGCAAUCAUGUGGCAGCACUUCUGUACCAGACAGCGCAUUACUCACAGCUGAGGAUCACUGCUGUUCCCCCGAUACAAAGCUGCACAGAGACUGAACAACAAUGGCAUAAACCUAGAACCAUGGACCAACUUGUAUAAGGGAGUAAGUUCACCUCUGCCUGAUCUUUCCGUACUCAAAGUGGAUGAGAUCUACAGUGGCCUUCCCCCUGAUGUUGCUCCACUCAUAACAAUGAUGGCUGUAUCCUCAGAUGUACCUUUGGUUGAUUCAGCGUUUGGGAAAGUGCAAGAAGGAAAUGUUUUGUCAUACCACUUGCCAGUUAGGAGUCCCCCAAAAACCCAUCCAUACACAGAUGCCCCUUUUCCCCUACAGCUGCCACUUAAACACUACAGAUUAGGACCACCUUCUUGUUCUUUUGUUUACACUGAACAUCAGCAACUCCACAUGAAUUCCCUACAAACAUCCCUACACACAGCACACAAGGUAGAGAGCAACACGCGGAAGCAGUGUUUCAGCAACGAGUGCCACCAACUAAGUUGGGCUCGUGUCACCGCCUCCAAAUUCAGAGAGGUCUGUCACACCAGGGGGCAAAGCUCUGCUGAAAAUCUAGCAAAAAGGCUCCUGAAGCCAAGCUGUCAGACUGCAGACAUGAGGAGGGGGCUGGAGAUGGAACCUGCAGCAGUAGAAGAGUACCGCAGAGUAAUGGAAGUUAACCACUAUCCCUGUGGCUUCCUUAUCCACCCAGAUGCACCAUGGAUGGGGUCUACACUAGAUGGGAUUGUGUAUGAUCCAAAGGAGCAGCCAGUGUUUGGCCUUCUUGAAAUUAAAUCCCCAAAUUUGCAGAGCUAUGUGGACUGCCCAUAUAUAAAGAUCUGUGAGGGCACACAUACUAAGGAAAUCCCAUCCUUACUUCUGGCAGGUCCAGGGUCAGAUGCUCACUUCUGGCUUUGACUGGUGUGACUUUAUGGUUUAUGCACAAGAUGACAUGUUCAUCCAGAGGAUCCCCAGAGAUGAGGAAAUGAUGAAAACUAUUAAAGAAAAAGUUGACUAUUUCUUUUUUUUAUUUUUACCUCCACACUUCCCUCUGCAAAUAGGACUGUUUCGUAAUGAAUGUGUUGUAAUUUGGCAUUCGAAAUGUUGAAUUUAAUUAGAUUGUAGUAUGGCAAAUGAACAACGUUGCACAAGUGGAAUCUGUUUUUUGUCUUGUGUAAACUGCAACACAACUGAGAGGUGGGUAAGUAAAAAACCUGAUAGUAAUAAGUUGAACAAAGUGAAUUUAUUUUAAUAAAUCAACAGUAGUAAUUUGAAAUUGACAAAGAAUAUACAGAUAAACUUUUAAUAUUUACAGCACCUAUAUAAAGAUAUAUAGCUAUUGAUCUGUACACUGUAACUGAGUUUACAACUGGGGGCAGCGUGUGGCUCAGUGGGCUAAGCCUGUGUGCCUGUAAUCAGGUCACCAAUUCAAACCCAGCCUCAGCACGUCUUUGGGUCCUUGAGCAAGGCUCUUAACCCCCCAGCUCCUUGGGCGCUGCUACAGAUCUUUGCUCAAGCCUAGGUGGGUAACAAAUCUUUAAUUUCAAACGGUAAAAUGCUGAAAAGUACAGUAAGUUUAGAAAAACAAAGAGAUUGGCUUAGGACAGGGGUGCCCAAUCCUGCUCCUGGAGAGCUACCACCCUGCAGAGCUUAGGUAAUUUAACACGCCUCAUACAGAUAACACCAGCCAACAUUUUAAUAUUUUUUGUUAGGUGAUUUAACAAAAACAAGUGCAUGUUCUACAGUUUUUCAUGUAGUUUUAGAAUAUGGCUACCAAUAUGCCGCCACACAUCUGGUUUUGUCACAAUUUACAAUUAAAGUUCAACAUAAAUUACACUAGCUGACAUCAAAUUUGGCGAAUAAUGACAUUUCGAAUGACAUUUUUCAAACACCGUUCAUAAACAAACAUUUUUUGUAUAUUUAGUUUUGCUCCAGCACAUCUGGUUUUUCUGUGAUUUCGUCAUAUAAAAUCACCAGUAACCUGACAGUACCGGAAAGCGGACCACAGUUCUGCAUACAAAGGUCGGCGUCAGUGGACCUGGAGCAGCAUACCUGUAAGUUUACAUAACUGCAAGCUGCCUGUAAACCCUGCUGACUGGUUUGUACUAAAAAUUAGGUUACUGGUGAUUUUAUAUGACUGGUAUCAAAAUGACAUUAUUAGGUAUACAAUGCAUUGUAUAUGAAAAAAACUCAAAAUCACAAAAAAAACUGACUAAAAAUGUUUAAGAACGGUGUUUGAAAAAUGUCAUUUGAUAUUAUUCACCAAAUUUGAUGUCAGCUAGUGCAAUCAGGCACUUCAGUAGCACCUCAGUAUGAGAGUCAACUAUGUUGAAGUUAAGCUGGUUCUCAUACUGAGGGCCUGUUUAUCUGUAUCAGGUGUGUUAAAUUUGGGCUGUACCUAAGCUCUGCAGGGUGGUAGCUCUCCAGGAGCACCCCUGGCUUAUGGGCACUUAUUUGUGUAGCAGUACUGUAGUAUAUGACAGAGUAAACAAGUCACAGUCAACAUAACUGGUAACCAGAUCCUUACAGAUCCCAGGACAGUGUAGAGAAAGUUGCUCCAUGUUGUGAUGAUCCUACUGAUUGUGGACUGGUGGAUUCCAUAUCUGUCAGCAAGGUCCCACUGUUUUAAGCCCAGUGCCAGGUAGUUGAAGAACAGGAACAUCUCAUCUAUGGGCUGGCAAAACAGAUUUUGGAAACAGUUAUGUUAUUUAACCAUCAAGCUAUUUCCCUCUAUUUGAUAAAUGGAUGUACCAUUAUUAUAGGAAAUAAUUAUUUUGUCUAUAUUGUUCAUCCAAAAUUAAAUUUUGUUUGUAUAAUGUUUAAUGAAUUCAUAUAAUAUAUAUAUAUAUAUAUAUAAGUAGUUUGUACUGUGUACUUAAACGCCAGAAUAAAAGGAGUUGUAGCUGUUGUAAAUCUAGGGGAUACACUGGAGAUAUUACGUUAAGUUACAUGAUACAUCAUAGUAAAUACUUACUGCAGAUGUACUUGGCUCUGUUGUGGUGCCUUUGUCACGCUGACCAUAAACGGCAGUGACGGCUCUAUUAAUGCCCAGAAGCGCAUGAGGUGCUCAUAGGAUGCAAAUCUGCAUAAUACAAAUACAAUAUGUUAGCAUGUUCCCUUCUAACAAUGCCUUACAGUUUUUAAUUAAUCUUAUUCAUUAUCAGUGUAUCUACAGUAUAUCUUACCUUGUGAAAAGUCGUUCUGAAGUUUGGCAACACUUCAAACUUGUAUCAACAAAUAAGAGACCAAGAAACAAAAGAUUGAUGAGGCCUUGAUCAAUAUGAUUGUAAAGGAUUCACAACCCUUUAGCAUUGUGGAUGACGCUGGAUUUAGGGAGUUUGUGAGUAUCUUGGAUCCAACCUACAUUCUCCCCUCCAGGCAAACAUUAAAGGGUUUGGUAGCAGAGAAAUUUAAGAUAGAAAAAGAGAAAGCAAAUGAAGAGGUGAAAAAGGCCAAGGCAGUAAGACUAACUUCUAACGUGGACAUCCAUACAUAUGGAUGCUUAUUUAGCAGUCACAUGCCAUUUUAUAAAUGAAAAGACUGAGCUGUCUACAAUUCUAUUAGGAGUAGGAAAAUUCCCAGAGUCUCAUACUGCAGAAAACAUGGCUGUAGUCAAGGCAGUCUUGAUGGAGGAGUGGGGCAUACAGAAUAAAGUCCGAUGCCUUGUGACUGACGCUGCACCAAACAUGAUUGCCUGUGCCAGCAAUUUAAAGGUCAGACGCACAACUUGCAUUGCACAUGCAC